GCAAUGCUGACAACCUGGGGGGGUUUGGUGUGUAGAGCAAGGGUGAGUACACAUCAACAUACUCAGCAAGUAUCCUGUUUGGCUGUAGUGGACUAGCUUUAUGUGGGGAUAAGUCAAGCAGUUGCUUUUAGUUGGUCAGGUUAUUACUUACUAGUAGAAAGCCAGGUUUUAACAUUAACCCAAGUUAUUAGCCCAAUGUAUCCUUUCCAAACGGAAAGAAUACCACUUACCAAUACCAUAAUCGUAAUCAGAACCAUCAAUCUCAUUGUCACCUGUACCAAAGUAUCUCUGAUCAAGUAUCACUAAUCUCUGGAGCUCCCUUGGCCGCUCAUAACCGCGAGCACGGCUGAUAUAUCAGUUUCAUAACACUCUGCAGAGGUUGUGCACUUUACCCACAAGCCGUGAUUCCCUCUCUGGCCCGGGCUUGCAAGACCCUUAUUCACUCCCGAGGUGAAUGGCCAAGGAUUCACUACGAAGCCUUUACAAAGAUUCCCCGGGGCUGUAGCCACCCGUUAGGUUUCCUAAAUGUACCGCACUCCUCCCCAAGUGACAAAUCAACCUUGGCAGAGCGAGCCGCAUACACCGAGCCCCAUUGACGGCACGACGGCGAAGCGAACUACACCCCGGAUCCUCUAAUUAUUCAGCUAAGGGCACCCCAUUCCACCCUCAUGGUUGCACUGUUUUCCCGGGCGGUCAUCCAUUGAACAGGUCCUUACGGAGAGGCACUCGAGAAACCGCUCGAGUCCCCUUAAAUGCCACAAGUAUAAUCAUAAAUAAGAACGGGAAAACAGCGUAUCAUAGAUAACCACAUCAUGUUCAUUGAUUAAAGUUGAGCAAUAGCAUCAAACUAAGCAGUAAUAAUCCGACCCAAAUAGGUAAACAAGGACAUGGAUAACAAAAAGCUAGUCAAUCCUUAGGUAUAAAUGUGUGAUGCGGGAGGUGAAUUAAAGAAUGAUUAGGACAGAGAUAGGUCAAAGGACACUUGCCUCCACCAACCGACUGCUGCUCAGGGGCUUCUCCUGCGAAUUCCUCGGGCUCUUCGACCGGAUCGUUCUCUAUGCGAUUGCAAACAUACAUACAUCCAUCCACAUAUUUAAUACAAAAGAACAGUACACCAUACAAGAUGACAAAUAAAGUGAAUAUGCAUCAAGUAUGACAUUCGAUAUCGCAUUUGUUAUGGUUAGAAAGAAACGGGAAAGGGUCUCGCAGGGGGUUAAAUCUUAUGCACUAACGAUCAAUUACAAUUGGUUCUUAACAAAAGAAUUCUGUUACAUAUACACUAAUGGAAACCUAAUCAUUUUAAGUUGAUCAACAUUGCACGAGAUAAACAAUUAACUACAUGAAUCAACUAGCAUAACGGAAUUUUAAAUUAAACUUCCUAUUUCAAUAACAUGAACAAUGAUUAACCUACCUAAAAUAAAGUAACUAGGAUCACAGAAAGUAAAUAAAAUAAAAUAAAAAUAAAAAAAAUAAAAAAACAGAGGGGGGCGGUUGAACCGGCCCUAGGGCGGUUGAACCGGCCCUGCGCAGGGGGACGCGGCUAGGGGCCAGGGCGGCCGGGGCGGCCAGGCGGGCGGCCGGGGCUGGCCAGGGGCCGGCUGGGGCUGGCCAGGCGGGGGCUGGGGCGCGCGGCCAGGGGCGGCCGUGGCCGGCUGGGCCAGGGCGGCGCGGCAGCGGCCGGCUGGGGGCGCGGCCAAGGCGGCCAGGCCAGGGCGGCCAGGCGGCCGGGCUGCCGAGGAGAGAGGAGGGGGAGGGGAGAGGGAGGGAGGAGGGAGAGAGGGAGGAGGGGGGGCUCACCGGCGAGGGGCGGCCGACGGCGAGGGCGGCGGCCGGCGCUAGGGCAGGGGGGUAGGGGCGGCGGCGGCUUAGGGUGGGGGAGAGAAAAUGAGAGAAAAUGAGAGGGAGGGAGAGAGAAUUGGGGAAAAAGGGGAGGUGGGGGGCGGUUGGGCCUUUUUGGGCCCAAAAGGGGGCGCAAGGGCGGCUGGGCCGGCCGGGGUCGGUCCACGGCGCGGGAGAGAGAGAAAAAGAGGAGAGAGAAAAAGAGAGAGAAAAAGAAAGAAAAGAUCUUCUCCUCAUUUUCGAAAUCCGAUCUUUCUACAUGAAUGCAUUUGCACUUUCAAAGCAAUCAAAAGAAAUGCAAGGUUCGGCAUGGUGCAUCAAACAACAUAAAGUAUUUAGGGUUUUUCUUACACGGGAAAUCCAAACCGAAUCCCGCUAGAACUUUGGAAAAGGUCAAGGUUUAGCGAGGGAAAAAAAAGAAAAAGAAAAGGUAACGCCCGAAUUUUGGCGAGUAAAGAAAAGAAAAAAUUCAACUGCAAAAUUCGGGGCGUUACAAUUUGCCACUCUAUGAAGUGGUACACGCUGACCACCACUAGAUCAUAGAUCUAUGGUUCAGCCUCGUCCACACACUACUUGUACUCGAGCCGAUGGAUCGAAUUACGACGGUCACGAUUUCAAAACCCCGAAUCGGUACACGGCUCCUAAUCGCAGUAGUCCGCUAGCAAAUCAACGGCCCACGUUCUCUCUUCCUCCCACAGACCCCAGGACGGCGGCGCCCCCAUACCAACGCCGGAGCCACACCGGCGAGGCGGUCCCAGGGCACACCAGUGCGCCAUUCCCUAAUCCGAAGACUUCUACACGACGCCUGAAUGAUAGCACAUCGAUUAGGGGCACAUACCAUGGAUUGAAGAUGGCAGGGAGAUCCGGCCGCGGUGUACAGUGAUAUCGCGGCGACAAUUAUGCUCCGUCGAGCAAUUAUCGGAGCUCCACGCAGUUGCCCACCAAUUGAACCAUCACACAGCACCAAUGGGUCACCACCAACCUCCAGCUGGCCCGAUUGGUGCCCGAACUCUCCUGCCGGCGGUGAAUCGCGACGGCGGCGGCUCCUAUUUCUAUUCUUCCUCUCAGAUGCGCCUAUGCUUGAGGGAGCUCGCAGUAGGGAAGGCUGAAGGUUCGUCCACGGCGCUGCUGCGACUAGAGGAGAGGAGCGAGGGGCAGGGCGCGACGGAGGAACUUGGCCACCCGGAUGGAGCUCGCCAGGAAGGGUUGUCCGAGCAGACCUGGCAAGGAGUCACCCGCUGAAUGGGAGAACGGCGUCUGCAUAGCCCUAGUAGAUGUGGCUGGGGAGGGCGCGGCCUUAGUACUUAAUCACUGGAGCGCGGAUUUCGCAGAGUUUGGCGGCGAGGGACCCGGCCGAUCUCCACAAUCCCGACGACCCAGCCGCGACGACAUUCUGUUAGCGGGGAGGACGGGGAAACACGGUCAAUCGUGG
rnacentral:lncRNA from 1 species